rnacentral:rRNA from 1 species
GAACGCGAAAGUCCCGCAAGGGACAAGUAGAGUGGCGCACGGGUGAGUAACACGUGGAUAACCUGCCUUCGAGUGAGGAAUAACCUUCCGAAAGGAGGGCUAAUACCGCAUAACACCUUGAAACAGAAGUUUUGAGGUUAAAAGGAGCAAUUCGCUGGAGGAGGGGGUCGCGGCCGAUUAGUUAGUUGGCGGGGUAACGGCCCACCAAGACCAUGAUCGGUAGCCGGCCUGAGAGGGCGCACGGCCACACUGGAACUGAAACACGGUCCAGACUCCUACGGGAGGCAGCAGUGGGGAAUUUUGCGCAAUGGGGGAAACCCUGACGCAGCAACGCCGCGUGGAGGAUGAAGCCCUUUGGGGCGUAAACUCCUUUCGAUCGGGACGAUAAUGACGGUACCGGAUGAAGAAGCACCGGCUAACUCUGUG